CCUCCUUUUCUUGGCGCGGGUCGGGCGUGCAGUCGCGGAGGUAGGGGGACCGGGCUCUAGCCCCCUCGGCGUCAUGUCUUCGGUACCGGCGGCCAGCAGUCCGCCGGUUCUAUCCUCAAGCGCCGGGACACAG
rnacentral:snoRNA from 1 species